GUGGUUUAUGUGAGGGUGUGGCUGGUGGAUCCCUGACAGAAACACAACUGUGAGAUGGUGAACACAGGAAAGCUUGUGGAGGUGACUGGGUUCACAGGAGAGUCUGUAGUUCUGCCCUGCUUCUGCACUGACCUACAGGACGACCCAAAAACUAUAAAAUGGGAGUUUAAUUUUCGGGAAAUUUACCCUGAACAGACUGGACACCACAAAAACAGAUUCAAACAGUAGGACAAAGAGAAACUUCACUACCAUCAAAAGAAAAAGACAAAACAACCCCUCUAUCCGCAACAUCCAAAACAACACAUCUUGUAGAUGAAAAUCUACAAGAAACAAACUCUCCAACUGCAUCCUCCUCAACAACACAAGUUGAAAAUAUCCAUAUUUAUGUGUGUGUGUGUGUGUUUUUUGUGUCUUUUUUUUAGAUUGUGUCUAAUGGUGCUUUAUAUAUCGCUCUUACUGACACUUGCUACUCAACUGACCCACAUUAACACAGCAGGAGAAGGCAGGAAGUGAAUAUGCCAAUAUUAUAGAGUACAAAAUGAAUGAAGUGUAUAUAGACACAUUCUUGUAUAUUACAGUGAUGCUGAGAACAUAUAUUAUAGCAAGCACAAGAUUAACAAUAUUCAUUUGUUUUGUGAAUUUUAUACAUUUUACAAUUAAAUGGCAGAUUCAUGCAUAUGCAUGUGUGAUUUUCUUUUUUACUACUGAGGGUAUUGCUCUUCAUUCACUAACACUUUCAUUAUAUGUUUCAGUGUUAUUUUAUAUCUUAUGAGUUUUUAUUCUUGUAUCCGUGUAAGAAAUUCAUUGUAAGAAAACUGUUUUGUGUAAGAAGGCUGAUAUAGAAGUUCUUGUUUGUGACAUUUUUGUGUCAA